GGGUAGCGCAACACGUACACAACCUUCCUGAGAGAGGGGGAUAGCCCAGAGAAAUUUGGAUUAAUACCCCGUAAGAUUGUUUGGUGGCAUCACCGGGCAAAUAAAGUUCCGUAAGGAACGCUCUUAGAUGGGUGUGCGUCUGAUUAGGUAGUUGGUUGAGGUAAAGGCUCACCAAGCCUUCGAUCAGUAACUGGUGUGAGAGCACGACCAGUCACACGGGCACUGAGACACGGGCCCG
rnacentral:rRNA from 1 species